CAGCCGGAUGUGCGGUUUGAAGGCUUUCUGCGGGAGCGGCUUGUUUACAGGCUGAAUAUUUGAUAUUUAAUAAGUAAUAGAGAGUGAUAUCUGGCGGCAGAGAGCGGUCUUACUGCGGAGAUGGACUCACUGCAGCUGUUCCUGGAUCAGAUGGAACCCAGCGGGGACGCCGAAUCUGUCUGGUUGAAGGAGAUCUUCAGCUUCGUCUCAGAACAUCUGUGUCCCGUCCUCUCUGGCCCCGCCCCCUCUGCUGCUGACGGCUUGUUGACAGAUUUUACUAUCCAUGUGUAAGGAGAGAGCUGCGUAUGUAAGCCUAGAUAUUCCUUCAGCCUUGGGGGAGAUGUGUGUGCUGAUCAGCUGAGUGUGUGUUUGGUGAAGAAGAUCCAGGAACACACAACCCUCACACACACUUUACCUGUCAGCUACAGGCUGGUGUCUGUCUCGGAGCUCCUCUCCCGGCAGCGCGUGGCGUCGUCAGCAACCUCUCCUGGAGCACCAAUCAGCAGCGGCGUGGGCCAAGGAGGCGGGGCUUAGUGUGCCCGGUCAGCGGGCCCUGCCGCGCGUCAACCUGCUUCUGAUUGGCUGUCUGAGAGACGGGGGGGGCGGAGCCUGGAGGCUGGAGGACGCCAGCGGCAACGUCAGCUGGGAGUGCCUGUCUCCCUCUCCUCUGUGGCUGAAUCGUCCCGUCUUCCUCCCUCACUGGAACUACAUCCCCCACAAUGCCCCGGGGCCGGCUGAGGCCGGAGGCUGCGUGGAGCUGAUUGGUUCUCCGGUUCUGCUGAGUCGUGAGCAGGGAUUGGCUGCCGUGCCUGGAGGGGCGGGGCUUAGCGGAGCAGUGGGAGUCAGAGAGGCUGCAGGGAUACUGACC